GCGGCAAUCUACCCGGCGAGGAAGUGGUUGCGACGAAUUACAAGUCCCUGCGUGCACUGCGAAGGCAGGCUUGGUUGGGGAGGAUGCCUAUUUAUCUUCGAGCCAGCCGCUUGGUUCGUUUCAAGUCCGGAAUGCUUCUGCGUUCGGAAUGACAGCUCUGCUACUUUGCAGUAGUAAAAAGAAACACAUUGCAAAUCUCACAGAGCCUUCCCUCCAAGAGCAGUCAGGCAUAUAGUUACAGAAUGUUUCCUUAGACCUCCGAUUGUCACCCGGAAGUGUUUGCUAAGUACCCUCCAGAUUGGACGCCACAUACAACGGAGAAUUUUUCUGGCCACAUAUAAAGGGAGUGGCGCCAUUUGGAGGUGUGACCUAGUUGGAGUAGGUGUGUCACUGUGGGUGUGGACUUAACACUCUCACCCUUGGUGCCUGGAAGUCAAUCUUCCACUAGCAGCCUUUGGAUGAAGACAUAGAAGGCUCAGCUCUGCCUGUGCCAUGCCUGCCUGGAUGCUGCUGUGCUCUCACCUUGAUGAUAAUGGACUGAACCACUGAACCUCAUACAAAGUACGUUCCUGAACCAAAGAUGCUAGAAUAUACUAGUGAAGGCUCUAUUUAGGCAUCAGCUCAACUUCUUCAUGUUCAACGAGGCUUCCUGCGAAUCAAGAUGUAGAGCUCUCAGCUCCUACUCCAUCACCAUGUCUGCCUGCAUGCCACCAUGUUUCCUGCCAUGAACUAAAUAAUGAACUAAACCUCUGAACUGUAAGCCAGCCCCAAUUAAAUGUUCCUUUAAAGAGUUGCAA
rnacentral:lncRNA from 1 species